rnacentral:rRNA from 1 species
UACGGAGGAUGCGAGCGUUAUCCGGAUUUAUUGGGUUUAAAGGGUGCGUAGGCGGGCAUUUAAGCCGGCGGUCAAAUGUCGGGGCUCAACCCCGGCCUGCCGUCGGAACUGGCAGUCUUGAGUGGGCGAGAAGUAUGCGGAAUGCGUGGUGUAGCGGUGAAAUGCAUAGAUAUCACGCAGAACGCCGAUUGCGAAGGCAGCAUACCGGCGCCCAACUGACGCUGAGGCACGAAAGCGUGGGGAUCGAACAGG